rfam:Peptoniphilus lacrimalis DNF00528 contig055, whole genome shotgun sequence.
GUAGAUCUUAAGCGAGCCUGAGAUAGUGAGAGUCAGGUGAUUGAGAGAUAAGUGUGGCGCUUUCUGUAGUAUUUUCAAAAACAAUGAAGUAAUAAAUUAGGGUGGAACCGCGUUUCUGACG